CACACUUGAGUGUUGCCUUGGAAAACUGGCAGACGAAGUCAUAAGAGGACAGCUGAAAGAAUAAAUCUUCUUUUGUAGCCCAGCACUCAUUGUUGAAGAUGAACUUUGAUACAGAUGAAAAGGGAUAUG